AUGAUUGAAAAAUCGCUGGUUUGCCUUAUACUUAUAUGUGCCGGGUUCGCCCGGCUAUGAGGCUAAACGCCGUUCGAAAUAAGCGACGUGGACCCGGGGGCAGUGCCCGGCAGCUCCACCAAAGUCCGCAGUUACGAGCGAAGCGAGUGUUACGAGGACUUUGUCGCGCCGUAGCGGGUGAAACCCGCGGAGGCGGACAGAGAUGAAGCCCGCCUCCGCCCCCAAGGGGCUACGGCGCGGCGCUCAAAAUCCUCAGGCUCACUUCGUUCACCAGCGGAUUUUGGCGGGGCUGAAACAGGAUCGACACGCGUGGUAAAGGGAUGGUUUGUCUUCGGCAUUGUACCGCCGUUAUCGGGCUAUUUUAUAUUUGCAAACGACAACUUCGUCGUAGCGAAUGACAACAGCCGUGAGGCUGCUGUCGCUAUCGCUGCCUAAUUUAUUAGGCAGUUGUAGUGAGUAGCUGCAAAUCAAUCCCUGUCGUCUAGACAACGGCAGGUGGGGCCCGGGCCGAGCCUCGCAACAGAAUCGGCCCACU
rfam:Micavibrio aeruginosavorus ARL-13, complete genome.